rnacentral:snoRNA from 1 species
GUUGUCAAUGAUGUUUUACUUUUUAUUGUUCGAGUUUCAAUGACCAUGAUAACACUUACAUGCACUACCAUCUGAGACAUA